UACGUAGGGGGCUAGCGUUGUCCGGAUUUAUUGGGCGUAAAGAGCGUGUAGGCGGCCAGAUAGGUCUGCUGUGAAAACUCGAGGCUCAACCUCGAGCCGUCGGCGGAAACCAUCUGGCUAGAGACCGGAAGAGGAGAGUGGAAUUCCCGGUGUAGCGGUGAAUGCGAGAUAUCGGGAAGAACACCGGUGGCGGAAGGCGGGUCUCUGGGCCGAUACUGACGCUGAGGAGCGAAAGCGUGGGGAGCGAACAGG
rnacentral:rRNA from 1 species